CUUGCUUGUUUCGAUCAGGGAUGGGUGACAGUUCUGUCAUUCACACCCCAAGUAUUUCCAACAAACAAAGCCCUAAGUAAACAAAGAAGAAAAAGUGUGGGGAAAGUAAGAAGAAAAUAACCACUGAGCAGACUAUGGCUUUCAAGUUUGUGGGUGAAUGGGUUUAUUUGGAUCAAGCUUCUUCACCGGCUUCCACUGCAGCUUCUUGUGUUGUGGAUGAUUUUGGGGUCCAGAAGACUCUUGGAAGAGGUGGAGAGAAGGUAGUGUUUGAAUUGCAUUCACAUUCAAAAUGCAGUGAUGGCUUUCUUUCGCCUUCCAAGUUGGUGGAAAGGGGUCAUGGAAAUGGGGUGCAAGAAAACUUGCAAGGAGCCAAGAAGGAGUUUGGGAAAAGUGAAGAUGAUUUGGGGUCGCUUCAAAGUGUUGGUCAGAGUAUAGGGGAAGUUUUGAGACCUCUCGAUUAUGAACGCUGAUUGAUCGGCCUCUAAGUGGAAUAUGGAAACUUUCGGUGAAUGUAAUUUUGUUAGAGCUGCUUUGUGUUUGAGAAGUGUGGAAGUAAUUAUGUUUGGAUAUGACUACUCUGACUAUUAUGAGGGCUCUUCCAAGAGAGGUUGACCCAGUAGUGUAUAAUAUGCUUCAUGAAGAUCCAGGUAAUGUUAGCUACUCUGUUGUGGGAGGGCUAGGAGACCAGAUUCGAGAGCUUAGGGAAUCUAUAGAGCUGCGAGGAGUACAUAUUAAAGGAGCUGACUAUUGUUAGACAGUUUUCUUGUUGGAGAGCUGUUAUUGUUGGCUGUGCUGCUAUUGCUGGAGUUGUAAGGAGCUAGCUUGACUGUGGGAGAGGAGAGGCAACAGUCAAUAUACCCAAGCAUACAUAGAUAUGAUUCGAAAUGAAUGGGCAAAGUAUGUCGUGAAGGCGUAUGUGUAGAAGCUAAAGGAAAGCAUAAGAGGAAGUAGGUUGUUGCUG